AUCAGCGCCAAUAGCGAGAGGAUCACCUGAUACCAUUCCGAACUCAGUAGUUAAAGUUCUUUACGCCAACGAUACUAUAAAGGUGAAAAUAGGAAGGUGCUUUUU
rnacentral:rRNA from 1 species